GGGCCGGUAGUUCAGCGGCAGAACGUCGGUUUUGCAUACCGAAGAUCAGGGGUUCGAUUCCCCUCCGGUCCA
rnacentral:tRNA from 1 species